ACGGGUGCGGAACACGUGUGCAGCUGCUUUAUCUGGGGGAUAGCCUUUCGAAAGGAAGAUUAAUACCCCAUAAUAUGUUGAAUGGCAUCAUUCGACAUUGAAAACUCCGGUGGAUAGAGAUGGGCACGCGCAAGAUUAGAUAGUUGGUGAGGUAACGGCUCACCAAGUCUACGAUCUUUAGGGGGCCUGAGAGGGUGAUCCCCCACAUUGGUACUGAGACACGGACCAGACUCCUACGGGAGGCAGCAGUGAGGAAUAUUGGACAAUGGGUGAGAGCCUGAUCCAGCCAUCCCGCGUGAAGGACGACUGCCCUAUGGGUUGUAAACUUCUUUUGUAUAGGGAUAAACCUACCCUCGUGAGGGUAGCUGAAGGUACUAUACGAAUAACACGGUAACUCCGUGCCACAGCCGGGUAAUACGGAGGGUGCACGUCUCCGGAUAUGGUUAGGGUCCCGGGUCCUGUCGGUAAUUCCCACAGGUUCAAUUGUGAAAAUGGCCAUUGGAUACGGGACGGGUCUGGAGUGGUCGUGAAGUCCGUCGGGAAAUAAGUACAGGGAGCGGGAGAACUGGCUUCAAUAUUCAUUAAAACCCCCUUGGCAAG
rnacentral:rRNA from 1 species